rnacentral:rRNA from 1 species
CAAUAGCGUAUAUUAAAGUUGUUGCGGUUAAAAAAAGCUCGUAGUUGGAUUUCUGCCGAGGACGACCGGUCCGCCCUCUGGGUGAGUAUCUGGUUCGGCCUGGGCAUCUUCUUGGAGAACGUAUCUGCACUUGACUGUGUGGUGCGGUAUCCAGGACUUUUACUUUGAGGAAAUUAGAGUGUUUCAAGCAGGCACACGCCUUGAAUACAUUAGCAUGGAAUAAUAAGAUAGGACCUUGGUUCUAUUUUGUUGGUUUCUAGAGCUGAGGUAAUGAUUAAUAGGGAUAGUUGGGGGCAUUCGUAUUUAACUGUCAGAGGUGAAAUUCUUGGAUUUCCCGAAAAAGCGAACUACUGCGAAAGCAUUUACCCAAAGGAUGUUUUCAUUAAAUCAAGAACGAAAGUU